rnacentral:rRNA from 1 species
CGAACGCUGGCGGCGUGGAUAAGACAUGCAAGUCGGACGCUUGUAUUUUGUAGCAAUAUGAGGAUACGGGAGUGGCGAAAGGGUGCGUAACACGUGGGUAAUUUGUCUGAGAGUUCAGGAUAAUUCGCUGAAAGGCGGAGUAAUACUGGAUGUGGAUAUUGGCUGGGAACGGCUGAUAUCUAAAGCCGGGGACCGCAAGGCCUGGUGCUCUUAGGUAAGCCCGCGACCUAUCAGCUAGUUGGUGAGGUAAGAGCCCACCAAGGCGGAGACGGGUAGCUGGUCUGAGAGGACGACCAGCCACACUGGAACUGAGACACGGUCCAGACACCUACGGGUGGCAGCAGUCGAGAAUCUUUCUCAAUGGGGGAAACCCUGAAGGAGCGACGCCGCGUGGGGGAUGAAGGGCUUCGGCUCCGUAAACCCCUGUCAUUUGUGAGCAAGUGUUAUUGUUUAAGAGAUGAUGACAUUGAUAGUAGCAAAAGAGGAAGGGACGGCUAACUCUGUGCCAGCAGCAGC